GACGAACGCUGGCGGCAUGCCUAACACAUGCAAGUCGAACGGAGAGGAUUCAGAAGUUUACUUCAGGAUUCUCUUAGUGGCGGACGGGUGAGUAACACGUGGGUAAUCUGCCUGUUACACCGGGAUAACAGUGUGAAAACGCUGCUAAUACCGGAUAAGCUCACAAGGUCGGGAGAUCUGGUGAGAAAAGGAGCCAUCCGGUAACAGAUGAGCCCGCGGCUGAUUAGCUAGUUGGUGAGGUAAUGGCUCACCAAGGCGACGAUCAGUAGCCGGCCUGAGAGGGUGAACGGCCACACUGGAACUGAGACACGGUCCAGACUCCUACGGGAGGCAGCAGUGGGGAAUAUUGCACAAUGGGCGAAAGCCUGAUGCAGCGACGCCGCGUGAAGGAUGAAGGUCUUCGGAUUGUAAACUUCUAUCAGCAGGGAAGAAAGGGCUUAUAGCCUAUGACGGUACCUGACUAAGAAGCCCCGGCUAACUACGUG
rnacentral:rRNA from 1 species